UAAGCGAAUAGUGAAAUCUGGUGGCUCAACCAUACAGGCUAUUAUUCGAACUGGCUAACUCGAGAAUGGUAGAGGUAACUGGAAUUUCUUGUGUAGGAGUGAAAUCCGUAGAUAUAAGAAGGAACACCAAUGGCGUAGGCAGGUUACUGGACCAUUUCUGACGCUAAGGCACGAAAGCGUGGGGAGCGAACCGGAUUAGAUACCCGGGUAGUCCACGCUGUAAACGAUGGAUACUG
rnacentral:rRNA from 1 species